AACGAACGCUGGCGGCAUGCCUAACACAUGCAAGUCGAACGAAGGCUUCGGCCUUAGUGGCGCACGGGUGCGUAACGCGUGGGAACCUGCCCUUAGGUUCGGAAUAACAGUUAGAAAUGACUGCUAAUACCGGAUAAUGUCUUCGGACCAAAGAUUUAUCGCCUUUGGAUGGGCCCGCGUAAGAUUAGGUAGUUGGUGGGGUAAAGGCCUACCAAGCCGACGAUCUUUAGCUGGUCUGAGAGGAUGAUCAGCCACACUGGGACUGAGACACGGCCCAGACUCCUACGGGAGGCAGCAGUGGGGAAUAUUGGACAAUGGGCGAAAGCCUGAUCCAGCAAUGCCGCGUGAGUGAUGAAGGCCUUAGGGUUGUAAAGCUCUUUUACCAGGGAUGAUAAUGACAGUACCUGGAGAAUAAGCCCCGGCUAACUCCGUGCCAGCAGCCGCGGUAACAC
rnacentral:rRNA from 1 species